rnacentral:rRNA from 1 species
AGAAUCAACGCUGGCGGCGUGCCUAACACAUGCAAGUCGAACGAGAAAGUGGAGCAAUCCACGAGUAAAGUGGCGCACGGGUGAGUAACACGUGACUAACCUACCCUUGAGUGGGGAAUAACUGAGGGAAACCUUAGCUAAUACCGCAUAACACCUACGGGUCAAAGGAGCAAUUCGCUUAAGGAGGGGGUCGCGGGCAGAUUAGUUAGUUGGCGGGGUAAUGGCCCACCAAGACAGUGAUCUGUA